rnacentral:rRNA from 1 species
UACGAAGGUGGCAAGCGUUACUCGGAUUUACUAGGCGUAAAGGGCAGGUAGGUGGUUUGAUAAGUCUGCUGUGUAAGCUCCCGGCUCAACUGGGAGAGGUCAGCGGAAACUGUCAGGCUUGAGUAUGGGAGAGGGUACUGGAAUUCCUGGUGUAGCGGUGAAAUGCGCAGAUAUCAGGAGGAACACCGAUGGCGAAGGCAGGUCUCUGGGCCACUACUGACGCUGAGAAGCGAAAGCAUGGGGAGCGAACAGG